AGCGAACGCUGGCGGCAGGCCUAACACAUGCCAGUCGAACGGACCCUUCGGGGUUAGUGGCGGACGGGUGAGUAACACGUGGGAACGUGCCUUUAGGUUCGGAAUAGCUCCUGGGAACGGGUGGUAAUGCCGAAUGUGCCCUUCGGGGGAAAGAUUUAUCGCCUUUAGAGCGGCCCGCGUCUGAUUAGCUAGUUGGUGAGGUAACGGCUCACCAAGGCGACGAUCAGUAGCUGGUCUGAGAGGAUGACCAGCCACACUGCGACUGAGACACGGCCCAGACUCCUACGGGAGGCAGCAGUGGGGAAUCUUGCGCAAUGGGCGAAAGCCUGACGCAGCCAUGCCGCGUGAAUGAUGAAGGUCUUAGGAUUGUAAAAUUCUUUCACCGGGGACGAUAAUGACGGUACCCGGAGAAGAAGCCCCGGCUAACUUCGUG
rnacentral:rRNA from 1 species